GGAGAGUGAUGGAUUUGGCAAACCCAGCAGACUGUAAAUCUGCCGCCUCUGGCAGCGCGCGGUUCGAUUCCGUGGCUCUCCACCA
rnacentral:tRNA from 1 species